AAGUAUUGUUAGUUAUAGGUUGAGCAAGAAAUUACUAAAUUGGUAACAUAUACCUACAUAUAUAGACAAUGCUGAACUGAAUGCAAAUCGCUUGUUAAACAACAAAAUCAAGGCGUUCAUGUUUUGCGCUUAAGAAAAUUCAUGCAUUUGAUAAUGGAUCGGUCAAAACGUCCUAUAUUAGCCUUUUUCUUUGGAUUAAGUAAGAGAGCAAAUAUAAGGAAAAAGCAGAGCGAAGGUAAAUUCUCAUUCUCAUUUGAUUUAAGUUAGGUGAACUUGUGUCUACAAUACGAGUAUGAGUAUGGGUAUGGAUAUGCUUUCGUUUCAGAUACGAAUGCGAUAUCGCUUUGCAGAACUUAUUAAAUGAAUUCGUCGGAUUAGGAAGGUUAGAGCAUCCUUCCUUCCUUAAAAGCUCCGUUUUGUGUAUGAAAUUUACUCAGCUGAGUAACAUCUGAGGUACCGAUCACUGGAGUUAUUAAUAAUGAACAAUAAGUCAUGGUGUGAGAGUUACUUUGUAAUUCAUCAUACCUUUAAUAUAAUGGUUGAUCUAUGCACCAAACUCAAUUGAACAUCCGACAGAAAUAUGUUCUCGUUUGAUGGCGCUAUUAAGUUGAUAUGCAGCGACACGAUAGACAAUGUAGCAGAACUGUACUAAUGGUCACCCAUUCAAUUUAUUGUGAAUAACAAACCAUUUUGAAAUAUAACCUCUAGCGCAUGUUGUUCUGCAUUAUUGGACAUAAAGUGAUGAAUUCUAUAAUUUUGGAAUCUAAUAUGUAUAUCGAAAAUUUAGACAUAAUGUCAACUUUCUAUCUGUGCCCUAGGAAGCAUUGAAAUUAAAAAGUAAUUUGGAGUUUGGAGGUUGGCAGUGCAAUAGACGAUUAAAUAGAAGAAACUUGUUGUUUUGAAGAAAGAACCUUUACUUACAGCAAAAUAACUACAUACAUUUUGGUUUUCCCAGUUAUUUUCCACAGAAGUUUUUACAGGACUCAUACGCGAAAUCUAAGUAAAUGAUCUGUAGUGUUGCAGUUAAGGAUAACGAAAAGGAGCAUCUUAUUAAUUGGAGAUAACCAACCUAGAAUCAAG